rnacentral:lncRNA from 1 species
AAUAAGUUAUUGCUGCUCACCUGGUUCACAGUGUAUGUGAACAGCAGGCAGACCUCACCGUUGUUCACUUUCCCUAGCCAGAGGACACCUGCUGGCAAGGAGGAAACUGAUUUGAACAGAUUAAAAUCGACAGUGAAUAUUAAGGUGAGCAUCUGGAGGCAAGCUUCAACACUUACCACCUCCUCAGGCCUACGUCUUGACUUCCCACCCUACUUCCAUGACAGUUUGGCUCUGCAAGCUGCCAGCUUAUCACUUUUCAGGAACAUACCAAACCAUCUCUCUGUUCGUGCUCAUGGACACGUUCUUCUCUCUGCCCCAUCAACAUUUCACCGGCUACCUUCUGGUCACCCUUUAGAUGUGGAAGAUAUUGGAUACAGAGAGAAAGUGCUCUUGUCUCCUCCCCAGGUAGUUAGAUGUGGUCUCUGAUGGAAUUGGAUUGACCUUGCCUUCUACGUUAUUUGUUUCCCAGCGUUAACUUUAAAUUUCUUAGAGGGCAGAAACUAGCUCUGUAGUUUUGUCUUUAUGAUCUUACAGUGCAUUGUACCUGGUAAGCCCCUCAUAAAUGUUUGUUGGCUAAACAGAUUAAACAGAUAGAUGCAUUUGGUGGUUGAUUGGUACAGUUCAGAGGCUACUCUAAUGAAAAAGGUAUAGAAAAUAGAGAGUUGAGUGGAGUGAUUAAGCAUGUGGGCUUUAGAACCUGACUACCCAGAAUGGAAUAUUGUCUCUACCACUUAAUAACUGUGGGUUCUUGGGAAAGUUAGGUAAACUUUCUUGCCUUAGCUCUAAGGUGAAACCCUUAGCUUAAAGUGUUUAGUAAUAAUACUAGCUUCAUUGGGUUGUUGGAGUGAUAAAAUGAAGUAAUAUAUGUUAAGUGCUUUAGACAGUGCUGAGACCUACUAAGUAACUCAGUACACUUAAAAUUGUUCCAGAUGACAGAUCACGGCAUUUAAUGAACACUCAUGAGGGCCGAUGAAAGUAGAUCCAGGAAAGAGAAGAGCAAGAAGUCCCUUACCUGUGCACACUUGCUUGAAACUCUCAUUUCCCUGAUUAUGCUACUGAACAUAGCAUAUUGAAAUUUUUGUACUAGUAUGUCUCUCCAUUUUAUCCUGAAGAUCAGGGUGAGAAGGUCCAUAUCCUUGUCGAGUACUGCUGCAUCACCAAUGCCAAUGCAUAGAUAUUCGUCAACAAAUAUUUGCAAAUGAUCAACAAGCAGAGCUUGGUGAAAUCAUUUGAUGCUUUUAUGGCCUGUGUUCUAAUAACCUAGACGGUAAGUAACUGAGAGUCUGAAAAAUUCUAAGCUGAAAACAGAUAUUGCAACUACCAUGUCUCUUAACAGGGAUCCCUUGAAAUUCUCUCGUCUUGACGUUUUAAGUGUAAAUGUGCCCUUUACCUAUGUGUGCGAUUAGGGAUGACAUAAGUGGGGAUGGGUCCACCAGAGGUAAAGUCAAGGAAGAGUAGGGGCAAGGCACUGAACCCAGGAGCAAGGUCCUAGUUACAUGAGAAUGACAGUCGUGUCGACUAGAGAGAACCCCAAGUACAUCGGGGGAAGGGUGUACACAUAACCACCACAGCUUCAUAUUUCAUUACAAGAUUAAAGAAAAAAAGAUGAGUGGGUUUAGGGAGAUAAGGCUGUGAGUUAAUAGCUCACUGUUUGGAGAGCCCCAUAUAUAACAGCCCAGGACACAAACUUAUUUGAUGAAUGAUAUCUUCAGGGAAUUUCCAGAAAAAUAAAAGUUUUCCAAUUAGUUUCCUUCA